rnacentral:rRNA from 1 species
AUGAACGCUAGCUACAGGCUUAACACAUGCAAGUCGAGGGGCAGCAUUUUAGUUUGCUUGCAAACUGAAGAUGGCGACCGGCGCACGGGUGAGUAACACGUAUCCAACCUGCCGAUAACUCCGGAAUAGCCUUUCGAAAGAAAGAUUAAUACCGGAUAGCAUACGAAUAUCGCAUGAUAUUUUUAUUAAAGAAUUUCGGUUAUCGAUGGGGAUGCGUUCCAUUAGUUUGUUGGCGGGGUAACGGCCCACCAAGACUACGAUGGAUAGGGGUUCUGAGAGGAAGGUCCCCCACAUUGGAACUGAGACACGGUCCAAACUCCUACGGGAGGCAGCAGUGAGGAAUAUUGGUCAAUGGGCGAGAGCCUGAACCAGCCAAGUAGCGUGAAGGAUGAAGGCUCUAUGGGUCGUAAACUUCUUUUAUAUGGGAAUAAAGUUUUCCACGUGUGGAAUUUUGUAUGUACCAUAUGAAUAAGGAUCGGCUAACUCCGUGCCAGCAGCCGCGGUAAUACGGAGGAUCCGAGCGUUAUCCGGAUUUAUUGGGUUUAAAGGGAGCGUAGGUGGAUUGUUAAGUCAGUUGUGAAAGUUUGCGGCUCAACCGUAAAAUUGCAGUUGAAACUGGCAGUCUUGAGUACAGUAGAGGUGGGCGGAAUUCGUGGUGUAGCGGUGAAAUGCUUAGAUAUCACGAAGAACUCCGAUUGCGAAGGCAGCUCACUAGACUGUCACUGACACUGAUGCUCGAAAGUGUGGGUAUCAAACAGGAUUAGAUACCCUGGUAGUCCACACAGUAAAUGAUGAAUACUCGCUGUUUGCGAUAUACAGUAAGCGGCCAAGCGAAAGCAUUAAGUAUUCCACCUGGGGAGUACGCCGGCAACGGUGAAACUCAAAGGAAUUGACGGGGGCCCGCACAAGCGGAGGAACAUGUGGUUUAAUUCGAUGAUACGCGAGGAACCUUACCCGGGCUUAAAUUGCAACAGAAUAUAUUGGAAACAGUAUAGCCGUAAGGCUGUUGUGAAGGUGCUGCAUGGUUGUCGUCAGCUCGUGCCGUGAGGUGUCGGCUUAAGUGCCAUAACGAGCGCAACCCUUAUCUUUAGUUACUAACAGGUCAUGCUGAGGACUCUAGAGAGACUGCCGUCGUAAGAUGUGAGGAAGGUGGGGAUGACGUCAAAUCAGCACGGCCCUUACGUCCGGGGCUACACACGUGUUACAAUGGGGGGUACAGAAGGCGGCUACCUGGUGACAGGAUGCUAAUCCCAAAAACCUCUCUCAGUUCGGAUCGAAGUCUGCAACCCGACUUCGUGAAGCUGGAUUCGCUAGUAAUCGCGCAUCAGCCAUGGCGCGGUGAAUACGUUCCCGGGCCUUGUACACACCGCCCGUCAAGCCAUGAAAGCCGGGGGUACCUGAAGUACGUAACCGCAAGGAGCGUCCUAGGGUAAAACUGGUAAUUGGGGCU